rnacentral:misc_RNA from 1 species
AUGGGUAAAUGAAGCAGGAUUCUAGAAACCCAAAACCAGCUCCCUCUCUUCUUCUUCAUGCCGUCCACUCACCCUUACCCAUUCCACCAUUAACAACCUUUCAUCCUUCAUCUUUCUUAGCUUUCUUCCACUAAAAACCCUAACUACCAACACAAAAAUUCAUUCUAUCAUCUUGGUGAUUAUUGUGGGAGCAAAAAGAAAAGGAAACCAAGACUUUGAGCAAGUGGGAAAUUCACUCCCUAAGAG